UUGCAGGUGAACGUUCCGAAGACCAAGAAGACCUACUGCAAGAACAAGGAGUGCAAGAAGCACACCCUCCACAAGGUUACCCAGUACAAGAAAGGCAAGGAUAGCCUUUCUGCUCAGGGGAAGCGUCGUUAUGACCGCAAGCAGUCUGGAUAUGGUGGCCAGACAAAGCCUGUUUUCCACAAGAAGGCCAAGACAACAAAGAAGAUUGUGCUGAAGUUGCAGUGCCAGAGCUGCAAGCAUUACUCACAACGCGCUAUCAAGAGGUGCAAGCACUUUGAAAUCGGUGGAGACAAGAAGGGCAAGGGAACAUCUCUCUUCUAA
rnacentral:rRNA from 1 species